AACUUGGAGAUAGCUGGUUCUCUCCGAAAUAGCUUUAGGGCUAGCCUCGAGGUAAAGAGUCAUGGAGGUAGAGCACUGUUUGGACUAGGGGCCCUUCUCGGGUUACCGAAUUCAGAUAAACUCCGAAUGCCAUGUACUUAUACUCGGGAGUCAGACUGCGAGUGAUAAGAUCCGUAGUCGAAAGGGAAACAGCCCAGACCACCAGUUAAGGUCCCCAAAUAUAUGUUAAGUGGAAAAGGAUGUGGGGUUGCUUAGACAACCAGGAUGUUGGCUUAGAAGCAGCCACCAUUGAAAGAGUGCGUAAUAGCUCACUGGUCGAGUGACCCCGCGCCGAAAAUGUACCGGGGCUAAACAUAUUACCGAAACUGUGGAUGAACCUCUUUAGAGGUUCGUGGUAGGAGAGCGUUCUAAGGGCGGUGAAGUCAGACCGGAAGGACUGGUGGAGCGCUUAGAAGUGAGAAUGCCGGUAUGAGUAGCGAAAGAAGGGUGAGAAUCCCUUCCACCGAAUAUCUAAGGUUUCCUGAGGAAGGCUCGUCCGCUCAGGGUUAGUCGGGACCUAAGCCGAGGCCGAUAGGCGUAGGCGAUGGACAACAGGUAGAGAUUCCUGUACCAGUGCUAAUUGUUUAACCGAUGGGGUGACACAGAAGGAUAGGGAAUCGCACGAAUGGAAAUGUGCGUCCAAGCAGUGAGUGUGAGAAGUAGGCAAAUCCGCUUCUCGCGAAGCAUGAGCUGUGAUGGGGAAGGAAAUUAAGUACGGAAGUUCCUGAUUUCACGCUGUCAAGAAAAGCCUCUAGGAAGAGUAGUACUGCCCGUACCGCAAACCGACACAGGUAGAUGAGGAGAGAAUCCUAAGGUGAGCGAGAGAACUCUCGUUAAGGAACUCGGCAAAAUGACCCCGUAACUUCGGGAGAAGGGGUGCUCUAUUAGGGUGCAAGCCCGAGAGAGCCGCAGUGAAUAGGCCCAGGCGACUGUUUAGCAAAAACACAGGUCUCUGCAAAACCGUAAGGUGACGUAUAGGGGCUGACGCCUGCCCGGUGCUGGAAGGUUAAGAGGAGUGCUUAGCUUCGGCGAAGGUACGAAUUGAAGCCCCAGUAAACGGCGGCCGUAACUAUAACGGUCCUAAGGUAGCGAAAUUCCUUGUCGGGUAAGUUCCGACCCGCACGAAAGGCGCAACGAUCUGGGCACUGUCUCAACGAGAGACUCGGUGAAAUUAUAGUACCUGUGAAGAUGCAGGUUACCCGCGACAGGACGGAAAGACCCCGUGGAGCUUUACUGCAACCUGAUAUGGAAUGUUUGUACCGCUUGUACAGGAUAGGUAGGAGCCGAAGAGACGUGUGCGCUAGCAUACGAGGAGGCAAUGGUGGGAUACUACCCUGGCUGUAUGACCAUUCUAACCCGCCACGCUUAGCGCGUGGGGAGACAGUGUCAGGUGGGCAGUUUGACUGGGGCGGUCGCCUCCUAAAGAGUAACGGAGGCGCCCAAAGGUUCCCUCAGAAUGGAUGGAAAUCAUUCGCAGAGUGUAAAGGCACAAGGGAGCUUGACUGCGAGACUGACAAGUCGAGCAGGGACGAAAGUCGGGCUUAGUGAUCCGGUGGUUCCGCAUGGAAGGGCCAUCGCUCAACGGAUAAAAGCUACCCCGGGGAUAACAGGCUUAUCUCCCCCAAGAGUCCACAUCGACGGGGAGGUUUGGCACCUCGAUGUCGGCUCGUCGCAUCCUGGGGCUGUAGUCGGUCCCAAGGGUUGGGCUGUUCGCCCAUUAAAGCGGCACGCGAGCUGGGUUCAGAACGUCGUGAGACAGUUCGGUCCCUAUCCGUCGCGGGCGCAGGAAAUUUGAGAGGAGCUGUCCUUAGUACGAGAGGACCGGGAUGGACACACCGCUGGUGUACCAGUUGUUCCGCCAGGAGCAUCGCUGGGUAGCUAUGUGUGGCAGGGAUAAACGCUGAAAGCAUCUAAGCGUGAAGCCCCCCUCAAGAUGAGAUUUCCCAUUUCUUCGGAAAGUAAGAUCCCUGAAAGAUGAUCAGGUAGAUAGGUUUGGAGUGGAAGUGUAGCGAUACAUGGAGCGGACAAAUACUAAUCGAUCGAGGACUUAACCAA
rnacentral:rRNA from 1 species